GGUCUGCUGGCCCAAUGGUUAAGGCGCUUGACUACGACCCGUUAACCUGUACAUCAAGAGAUUCCAGGUUCGAGUCCUGGGUAGAUCA
rfam:Microbotryum lychnidis-dioicae p1A1 Lamole unplaced genomic scaffold supercont1.27, whole genome shotgun sequence.